rnacentral:rRNA from 1 species
UGGUACCUUCGGUGCCCGAGUUGUAAUUUGGAGAGGGCAACUUUGGGGCCGUUCCUUGUCUAUGUUCCUUGGAACAGGACGUCAUAGAGGGUGAGAAUCCCGUGUGGCGAGGAGUGCGGUUCUUUGUAAAGUGCCUUCGAAGAGUCGAGUUGUUUGGGAAUGCAGCUCUAAGUGGGUGGUAAAUUCCAUCUAAAGCUAAAUAUUGGCGAGAGACCGAUAGCGAACAAGUACAGUGAUGGAAAGAUGAAAAGAACUUUGAAAAGAGAGUGAAAAAGUACGUGAAAUUGUUGAAAGGGAAGGGCAUUUGAUCAGACAUGGUGUUUUGUGCCCUCUGCUCCUUGUGGGUAGGGGAAUCUCGCAUUUCACUGGGCCAGCAUCAGUUUUGGUGGCAGGAUAAAUCCAUAGGAAUGUAGCUUGCCUCGGUAAGUAUUAUAGCCUGUGGGAAUACUGCCAGCUGGGACUGAGGACUGCGACGUAAGUCAAGGAUGCUGGCAUAAUGGUUAUAUGCCGCCCGUCUUGA